GACAGAGGUCCCAAGCGUUGUUCGGAUUCACUGGGCGUAAAGGGUGCGUAGGUGGCAGGGUAAGUUUGAUGUGAAAUCUCCGAGCUUAACUCGGAAACUGCAUUGAAUACUAUCCUGCUCGAGGUUUGGAAGGGGGACUGGAAUUCUCGGUGUAGCAGUGAAAUGCGUAGAUAUCGAGAGGAACACCAGUGGCGAAGGCGAGUCCCUGGACAACACCUGACACUGAGGCACGAAAGCUAGGGGAGCGAAUGGG
rnacentral:rRNA from 1 species